GCCUUUUGUUAGUUAAAGGUUUGUUCUGCUCAGUGGUUUUAAACAGCCGCGGUAAUUUGACCGUGCAAAGGUAGCAUAAUCAUUUGCCUUGUAAUUGGGGGCUGGCAUGAAGGAAUAAACAAGAGUUUGACUUUAUUUUCAAGAAAAUAAUAAUUUUCUUUUUUAGUGAAGAAGCUAAAAUAUAAAAAGGGACAAGAAGACCCUUUUGAGCUUUACUAGUUUUCUUUUUGUAUGUUGCUUGUUUGGUUGGGGCGACCGAGGAAGGUCUUCCUCUAUUAUAUUGAUCCGCAGUUUGCGAUUAAAAGACUAAGUUACCAUAGGGAUAACAGCGUAAUCUUUUUUGAGAGUUCUUAUUGAAAAAAUGGAUUGCGACCUCGAUGU
rnacentral:rRNA from 1 species